UUAAAGUAGUUAUAACUGCACCUGUAAUAAACAUGUUAAUAUUUGAUUAUGAUAACCCCUAUAAUAUAAAUUAUAACAUAAUGCCAGCAGCUUCAAUAAACACUUUGAUGAAAUGAUAAUUAAUACAAUGUUAAGGAUGGUGGUUAUAUACAGUUCAGCAGUGACCUAAUUUCUUUAAAUAUUACAAUGACAAAGGGGUGUUUAGAAGUGGUGUUUCAGUACUGCUGAUUGGUAAACAUUUAGAUUAGUCGGUGACCAGGAAAUACAAAAGAUUGAUAUAAAUGUUGAUGUUGCUGAUUAAAUUCUUGUACUUGUAAUGCAGUCUUAGAGGUGGCAAAGAUAAGAUCGUAAGAUCAAGCUUUUAUAUUUGAGGCAAUUAGCCAAAAUAAAGCCCAUCUUAUUGUAGCCGGAUGGGCUACUCGCCUUUCUUUUCUCUCUCUUGCUCGCUCGCUCUACUGCUCUCUCCUGCGCUCGCUCUCACUGCAAAACUAGGUCAAUUGGGAACCCACCUGCAUACUGAUUGCAGGCUGGCAUCAGGUAUAAAGCUAAGCUGGUGCUUCUCUGGACCAUUCCUCCCAUGCAUUCAGCGCAAAGCAGCAGUAAAUGCUGGCACUCUGCGACGGACUGAUCAGCAAGAGUAGAUCGUAUGACAGCCACAGCGCGGCAGGUUGUUUUAUUCCGGCGUUGCUUAGAGAGGUGCUUGUGUGAUCCUCCACCAGUGAGAGUAUAGCGCCUCCGGUCCUGGGGGUUUGAUCGCUGCCUUCACCUCCGUGGCAACUCACACAGCUUUAAUUGAAGAAUCAAGACGCCUGCCUAGCCGCUGUUGUGAGGACUCCUCCUCAGUGGAGCCUGCUGUCUUGUCUUGUCUGGUUUUGAAUUGUUUUAUCGUGCCUUAUCUUGUUUUAUUAAGUAGGCCUACCAUUUCCUGGUUCGCCUGGUUUUAUUUUAUCUCUGGACUGUUGCGUGUGCCCACGCUUCUGUGAUCGGGCUGAAGCAAUCCUUUGCCCGAGUGUCG